ACUGAACCUGCAUCUCUUAUGUCUCCUGCAUUGGCAGGCGGGUUCUUUACCACUGAGCCACCAGGGAAGUUCUAAAUCAACUAUACUUUAAAAAAGAGAGAGAAAAAGAAAAAGAGAGAAAUAAGUAAAUAGCAUGUCCUGUUCCCUAAAUAAAACUUCCAAAGAAGAGAAUGCUUGGUUUUCUUUUGCCUGAACAUCUUACACAAUGCCUGCAUGUGUGAUGAGACACUUAGAAAGGAUAUAAGAUUAGUUAGCCUACAGGGCAGCCACAUGUGCUCAUGAGAAAAAUGAGAGAGGGGAAAAGGUGUUGAAGCAGGAAUCCAGCCAUCACCCCUCUGCCUAUACACUCUUCUCCAAAGCUCCAAGCCCCUCCUCUUCGAAGAGCAGAUUGUACAAUAACUUUGUGCACUUGGCUUUGAGGGAUGGCGGUGGCAGGCAAGUGUUUUAAUGGAGAUGGGACUUGAGCUGUGUGAAAUUCAGGCUACAGUCCUACCCUGAUGACCCUUUCUUCCCACUUCAGCAGGGGAGCCUGUAGUUUUAGGUUCAUUGCUGAGGGGUCACAUUUGCCCACCAUCAAGCUUGGGAGAGGUCCCUGUCUCCGUGACUUCCCACACUCUGGCUUCAUUGAAAGCCACUAGGGUGGGUAAACAUUGACUCUGGAGUCAUCCCAGAGCUGGUGCGAAGGUGCAGGAAGCAGUUCUGGGCUGUCCAAUGCUGCCUACGUGCUGAUGGCUCUGGAGAGGGUGGUAACAAGGACAGAGCUGCUUCCUGGAACAAGGCGUAGAUAAGAGGUGGCUUGUUGUGCUUGAGUUUCCGUUGAACUUCACUGCGAGUUACAAAAUCCUAUGUCAUAACUACUGCACAUAGGAUUUGUUAGUAGUGACUUCCCCAAGAAGGACUCUGUGUGUAUAUAUAGAGAGAGGGGAAAGAGACAGAGAGGAGGAGAGAGAGAGAGAGACGGAGAGAAAGGGAGUGUAUGUGAGCAAGCAUGAGUUCCUUUUGAUAAUUAUUUUGGAAAAUGUUCAGAGAGGCCAAAAAUAAUGAGCAGAUCUUGGGAUCUUGGGGGUCUCUAUGCAGAGAGACACACACCCCCCAGCCCACCCUGUGCUGAGAAACAGCAACAGGUACUAUGUGGUGGCCAUGGGGUCCUCGAACCCGCCCUUCCAUGUGCUCACUGGGUGGGGCUUCUCAUCUUGGUUGUCAGACCUUCCACGCUGUACUGACCAACUAAAUCUGCAGCCUUCCUUGCAGGCUUUUUCUGGCUUGUAGGAGAAAAAUGGCAUUUAGAGCUAGGUUAUUCCAAAGGGUGGCGGGAACUAAGUCCACUGGAGGUUAAAAAUAGCCGGAGCCCAGCCAGCUUGGUCAAGCCUGCAGGCCUAGGGACCGCCCGCCAUCACCCUGGCCCUCCCUGGGUGCCACAUACCGACGCUAGUUCCAGGAGGUGCUCAGAGCCUGUUACUCAUAUGUCAGAUUCCCACUGUCGUGAUGUUAUUUCAUGCACCAACUGCGUUUUCACAGAAAAGCAGACUCUCAAGCUGAUGAGUCCUCCUCCCCACUUGAAGCUGGAGACAGGUUGCCCAUCUGGAAAACGGGGCCUGAGGGACCAGCUCUGUGCCCCUGGAGGGGCUUAUUGCAGGAUUUCAAGAAAUGAAAUUCACCUCAGAGAGUUACAACUCUGUUCCUCAGUUGACAGGCUAAGAAGAGCCACUCUCUUUACAAUCAAAUAAACACCUUGGUCACAUGGAUUUUGGAACCAGAUGGAUGGAAGUUAAACCUGCCUCUUCUACCAGUGGAUGGCUUGCUUGACAUCUGGAAGUUCUUGGUUUACAUACUACUGAAGCCUUGCUUGGAGAAUUUUGAGCAUUACUUUGCUAGCAUGUGAGGUGAGUGAAAUUGUGCAAACCUCCCUACACAGGGGAAUAGACCUUGCUGUCUUGAAGGGGAUCUGGGUGGUAUAUCACAGCUUGGAAAAGAAGCAGGAAGCUGCAUCACUGCAUCUCAGAUGCCCUAGCCUCUCCUGAUUGUGGCACCAAAGAAAGCCAUGCACACCCUGAGGAUGCACCCUCCAGUCUGCUGCACUUACGGACCUACACCUGACUCUCACAAGGCAUGAGAGUUCCAAGGGGCAACCUCUGAGGACACAAAGCAUAACAGAAAAUGGGUCUGAGAUCCAG